rnacentral:rRNA from 1 species
GACGAACGCUGGCGGCGUGCUUAACACAUGCAAGUCGAACGGAAAGGCCCUGCUUGCCGGGUACUCGAGUGGCGAACGGGUGAGUAACACGUGGGUGAUCUGCCCUGCACUUCGGGAUAAGCCUGGGAAACUGGGUCUAAUACCGGAUAGGAGCCAUUUUUAGUGUGAUGGUUGGAAAGUUUUUUCGGUGUAGGAUGAGCUCGCGGCCUAUCAGCUUGUUGGUGGGGUAAUGGCCUACCAAGGCGGCGACGGGUAGCCGGCCUGGGAGGGUGGACGGCCACAUUGGGACUGAGAGACGGCCCAGACUCCUACGGGAGGCAGCAGUGGGGAAUAUUGCACAAUGGGCGCAAGCCUGAUGCAGCGACGCCGCGUGGGGGAUGACGGCCUUCGGGUUGUAAACUCCUUUCGCUAGGGACGAAGCUUUUUGUGACGGUACCUAGAGAAGAAGCACCGGCUAACUACGUG